rnacentral:rRNA from 1 species
AUACGUAGGGGGCAAGCGUUGUCCGGAAUUACUGGGCGUAAAGGGCGCGUAGGCGGCCCGGUAAGUCUGGAGUGAAAGUCCUGUUUUUAAGAUGGGAAUUGCUUUGGAUACUGUCGGGCUUGAGUGCAGGAGAGGUAAGUGGAAUUCCCAGUGUAGCGGUGAAAUGCGUAGAGAUUGGGAGGAACACCAGUGGCGAAGGCGACUUACUGGACUGUAACUGACGCUGAGGCGCGAAAGUGUGGGGAGCAAACAGGAUUAGAUACCCUGGUAGUCCACACUGUAAACGAUGAAUGCUAGGUGUAGGGGGUAUCGACCCCUUCUGUGCCGCAGUCAACAUAAUAAGCAUUCCGCCUGGGGAGUACGGCCGCAAGGUUGAAACUCAAAUGAAUUGACGGG